rnacentral:rRNA from 1 species
CAGCCGCCGCGGUAAUACAGAGGGUGCGAGCGUUAAUCGGAUUUACUGGGCGUAAAGCGUGCGUAGGCGGCUUUUUAAGUCGGAUGUGAAAUCCCUGAGCUUAACUUAGGAAUUGCAUUCGAUACUGGGAAGCUAGAGUAUGGGAGAGGAUGGUAGAAUUCCAGGUGUAGCGGUGAAAUGCGUAGAGAUCUGGAGGAAUACCGAUGGCGAAGGCAGCCAUCUGGCCUAAUACUGACGCUGAGGUACGAAAGCAUGGGGAGCAAACAGGAUUAGAUACCCCUGUAGUCCCUGUCUCUUAUAA